AUUGAACGCUGGCGGCAGGCCUAACACAUGCAAGUCGAGCGGCUGAAGGGAGCUUGCUCCUGGAUUCAGCGGCGGACGGGUGAGUAAUGCCUAGGAAUCUGCCUGGUAGUGGGGGAUAACGUCCGGAAACGGGCGCUAAUACUGCAUACGUCCUGAGGGAGAAAGUGGGGGAUCUUCGGACCUCACGCUAUCAGAUGAGCCUAGGUCGGAUUAGCUAGUUUGUGGGGUAAAGGCCUACCAAGGCGACGAUCCGUAACUGGUCUGAGAGGAUGAUCAGUCACACUGGAACGGAGACACGGUCCAGACUCCUACGGGAGGCAGCAGUGGGGAAUAUUGGACAAUGGGCGAAAGCCUGAUCCAGCCAUGCCGCGUGUGUGAAGAAGGUCUUCGGAUUGUAAAGCACUUUAAGUUGGGAGGAAGGGCAGUAAGUUAAUACCUUGCUGUUUUGACGUUACCAACAGAAUAAGCACCGGCUAACUUCGUG
rnacentral:rRNA from 1 species